UGUUUGCAAUCAAUGAAAUAAGCUGUGAGAUUUGAGCCUUGACUGUCACCAUUUUACAGUCUUAUUUCUUAUUCUUGAGUGAUUGUUCGAGCUUGCAUGUGUCUCACUAGAACUUGUCUUGGUUUCUCCCUCGAGGUCACAUAGUGUGCUUAAUAACUUUGAGAUGAUAGAAGGUCGUCUUUGCUAGCCUAUAUAUCCCAUUUUUGUCCUAUUACUAUAUAUGAUCCUAGUUCACCCCUUUGAGCCUUUUAUUUUCCAUUUUAUUUGGUUUAGCCGUGGGUGGGAGCUUGGAGAUUGUUGUUAUGGGGUAGUUGGUUUGUGGAGAUGCGUGACUAUGGUUUAUGAGCUUUGAUCUUGAUUGAAAAAAAAAUCCUAGUACCCUACAAGUCGUUGAAAUAAAAAAAAAAAAGAAGAAAGAAAAGAAAGAAAAAAAAGUGAGAAAAUUGGAAAAUGGGUACGUAGGAUGCAUUAGAAAGUCAUAAUGUCAUGAGAAAUAAUUGUUGUGUUGUGGUGGAUUACAUAUUGAAAAAUUUGGUUUUGUGGAAGGUGGAGGAUAGAAUUGAGUAAG
rnacentral:lncRNA from 1 species